GGAGGAGCUCAGGUCAUAUAACCAACUGCUUCAGACAUAGCAGGGACAGCGUGUGGAGAGGUCUCUGUGCUGUGCCAUUGGGGGAUAUAAAUACAAGUUAAAGACGACGCAGAGAAUAGGACUUCUGAAUCUGACAACGGAGAACGGCUCAAGCAUCCGUGACUCUAAACGGAGGGCUGAACCUUCAAGCAGAGGAGUCUGAGUCAUCAACACCCGAGACCUCAUCUGAUACUGACUCCUCAUCUGUGCUUUCAGAGGACGUGGUAUUACCCGACCUGUGGGGCGAUUUGGAUCAAUAUUUCUAAGAAGGGUUAUCGCCAUCAUCACCGCCACAGGAUGACGCAACAGGGCAUGCCUCAGACCGUCAAAAACAUUAUACAUUCUCUAGAGUCUGUCCGGUUAACCGGAAGAGAUCCAGGGGAUGUGAUACCGCAACAAAAUUUUGAAGAACAACCGCCAUUUCACCGGGAGUCUGUCUCAACCGCUAAUCAACCGCUGAUGGCCGCGGAGAGGUCUAGGCCUCAACCAGCGGACAGAGAUCCAGGAUUCUCAUCGGGUCGCAACAACAGGAGAACCAGUUCUGAGAAUCCAUACCUGAGAUCCCGCGGGGCUUCCAGCAAAGGAUUUCCAUCGGCACGCUCAAACAGACCCAGGUCCAGACCAUCCAUGUGUCCUCGGUGCUGCAGAGCUACACGCCAGCAAUUGGAGCUGAUGGCUAGAGCCUGUUGGCUCAUCUGUCAGAAGUUAGGUGUACAAAGUGACAAUUUGUAAACUGUUUCAGACUGUGAUUUUUAUCAUCUGUAUAAAUUGCAAUGAUGUUGAUUUAGGUAGAUAGACGACGGGCCACUGAUGGGGGUGUAUUCCCGUCCUUAGUCUGUAUUGUUCUGGGCAUCCGGGUGUGAGAUCGAUGAUUAAAUACCCGUGAGGAUCUUUGGUAGCAUCUUCAAAACUUUCUAAUAAAAAGGCUUUUCAACCGGGAAA